rnacentral:rRNA from 1 species
UCCUACGGCCAUGCCACCCUGAACAAGCCCGAUUCUGUCUGAUCUCAGAAGCUAAGCAAGGUUGGGCCUGGUUAGUACUUGGAUGGGAGACCACCUAGGAAGACCAGGUGCUCUAGGCA